GGGAAACCCAGCCGUUUCGCGCCCUCUGGUGGCCGCUGUACGAACCGUACCUUAAAGACUGAAGUGGAAGGUCGAUGGAUCAUUACCUGAGAGUUGUCUAUGGCUUGAUGCUCUUCCAAGGGCUGUGAAAACAAUAGAGCACUGCUGUCGCCUGAAGCUGGACAUGUCAAGCACGGUGCUUUGGGUCACUCAGCCUGCUCUUACACUAGAUACAGUCCUUGGGGAAACUGGCCAGGGUCUAUGAAAUACUCUUUGCCACAGUGCACUUCACCUAAAGCACCAGAGAGAGCAGAGAAGAACCGGAGUCGAAGCAUAGCUUUCUUCUAAUGUGCAGUUUCAACCAGGCAGAUUGAAGGCAGGAAGAUUGUCGCACCUUUAAUCUGGCUCUGGGGGAAUAAGACUUGCAGUGCCCGCUGCCUGAGAAGCUGAGAGAGAAGGAUGGAGCCUCCGAGGCCGGCCUUGUUUUGAGUGAAUUCAAGUCAAGAUUGAGUGUUAAGUGUCUAUUCCUGGGGAAUCAUGAGCCACACAAGAAAACAAAACUCAAAACACCUUAUUUAUCCCAUGUAGAAUUAAUUGUUUACUGCUACAGGAUCCACAGGACCUGAGAGAAUAGGAGCCCAUAAAGUAGGAGGACUAACUUCUCAAAGAAGAGACAACUUCUUUAUCAGAGUAUCAGGGAAUUUAUACUCUGAGAGUUGAGAAGAGUCACCUGAGUAUGUGUGCACUCACAAGGACAAGCUGCAUGGAGCAGAAACAUGCUUUUCAGUAGACACAUCUGAAAACAGCCAACAGUAAUGAAUAAUCUAAUGUAGACUCACACUUAUCCACUAUCAUUGGCAGCGCUGACCUAUUUCAUAGACAUGUCAGAGGCCACGAGACUCUACUAAGGUAAGAUGGGAAACCAUGGAGAGGUUGUAAGGCUUGCACUGUUCGGUUCAAAGAACAUAAGCAACAAGGAGACAGGAUACUUUGUUUUCCCUCAGUCAUUUCCACAGCCCUUGGAAGAGCAUUCAAGCCAUAGAGAGCUCUCAGGAAAUGCUCUAAGAGAGAAAUUAAUGAGUAUGUAAACAAUUAAUGAAUGAAAGGCAUAAGACUAUGAAUAACUGUGGGAUCUGACUUCUUGAGGAGCCCUUCAUCCUACACAUACCAUGAACUUUCUUCCCCUUUCAGCUUUAGGAUGCAGUUUGUAUAGCAGCCAUGAGAGGAAGAGAAUCAACAGGGUUACAAGCACAGGGUGCUUAGCCUGUGGCACUGUGAGGUGCAGACCUCAUGGGCAGGUGUCCAGAGUCUGGGUAAGAGAGAACAGGUUGGGGGAAUGGCAGCCCUGUGGUAGGGGUGAAUUCAGUGAAGAUGGCAGGUGAGUGAAGGGACAUAUUGAGAGAGUUCUUGUCUGUGAAGGGCUCUGAGGAGGACUGGGUCCAUUUCUCCUUGCAGUCAUCUGUUGGUGCCUGCAGGUAGCCCAGUUAGGAGGACUGAUUCAGGACGGCCGGGGAAGGAGGAGCAUGGAGUUGACUCUGUGAGCCCUUAGCUUUAGAAGCACACAGUCCUCCAUGCCCAAUGUAAUCUGGGGUCUCUUGCCGUGCUUCCGAGGCUUGGCUCCUACAAGUGUUUAUUCAAUUGUGAGACACAGAAGACAGUAAAUCAGGUGCCAGCAAGAGGGAGAUGAAGAGGAUGGGAGAAAGCCAUGAACUCUAAAGUGGAGUCCAGGGAGCAACCCAUAUGUUGGGACUGGUUCUAAAGGCUUCAGAGCCUGUGACAGGAUUUCCAAGGUGUGCAGGAGUGUAGGAAUACAUCACAGAGCAGAGAAUGUACGUCCUACAAAGAAAUGAGAAUGAGAAGGGAAAACUACUCUGAGGCAGGACUAUAAAACUAGGCAGGCUCGGUGGUGCUCCAAGUGAAAGCUGCAAGCUUAGUUCUUGACAGACUUUUAGAAGCAGACGUCCCAUUCGGGACAUAACUCCUCUUCCCCCUUCAUAGCAUGGCUUCAGUGGAGCCAGCCCUUAUGGGUGUUCAUCUGGACAAGCCCAGAUUUCCUACAGGGCCAGGCUGCAUUCCCCUUUCUUUAAAGGAUAAGAGAAUACUAUGUAACUUUUUGAGUCUUUACAAGUGACAGGGUGAAGCAGGGACAGAGAAAGAACUUUCUUUGGACUAGGAGGAGGUAUCUUUCUCUAGUGGGCUUCAACAAAGCCCAGAUACCUACACAUAGGAUACACAUAGGUAUAGUACAGGAUUCUCUUUUUCCCAUUUCUAAGAGAAUAGAAGGAGGCAUCUACAGUUGACAGUGGGAGACAGCAUCCCACCUCAAUGGCUUCUAAGGGUUUUCAUCUCUGUGACAAAAUUUUUGACAAGUCAUGGUGGUGAAAGCAAGUGGUGACCAUACUGACGGUCCAUGGACUGGCUCUUUACUCAUCCCUCCUCCUCCCCCAAGGUCAUCCUGUUCUUACACCUACUUCAGAGUGUUUGAACACAUUAACACCCUAUCCUAGGCACAUUCUAGACCGGCCAAACCAUAACACACAGUACCAUAAGAGCAGGUAGGUCUCCAGUUUGUGAGCCUUCCCUACCUUCUAUUCCCUCAGGCAAACACCACCAUUUCUGUCUGAAGGCCAUGUAGACCAGCUGCCUGUGCACCUAGCUUACUCUCUUGGUUCCCUCAGACUGACAACUCCCCAAACUCCUACUUCCAGGAAUUCAGCUAGGACAGCUGUCCAGGGACUCUCCCCACUCUUAGUUUUUUCUACCAAACACUUCUUGCUCAACCACAGGGCAUGCCACCAGAGACCAUGGUAACUUGUUGUGCCACCCGGGCACCAAUCUUCUUCACUGUUUUAGUUCAACUAACUCCUUAGUUUUUUGUCCCCUGUUAUUCACUAUGUCCCAAUCCACAAUCCAGCGGACAUCUCCUUCAGAAGUACAAGCCAUGACUGACAGAAGACCAGGUAGGCUUUUUGUCAAACCCCCAUCCUCCAACAAUAUCUCAAUUCCCUUCUCUACUCCUCAACAUACCCUAGUCUGAGAUUCAGGAAGAGUUAGACCAGCUGCCAUGCAGGGCAACAGAACUCUUACUGCAACUCAGAGACACCUCCCAUCCUCAGAAGUCCAGAAGUAAUAUAGCCCCCAUCAACCACAUAACCGACAAGCCAGAAGAUUAGAGGGGAAAUAGAAGAAGGAACAUAGCAUCCACCUAAUAAAGACAGACCUGGAAAGUGGCACCUUUACCUAUAAUCAUCUGAACACCAGAAUUUUAGAAGGCAGUGUAAGAACAGAACAACAGCCAGGGAAAUAUGUCACAGUCAGAGCCCAGCUAUCUGACUACAGCAAGUCCUGAGUAUUAGAACACAGCUGAAGCACGGAGAAAGACCUUAAAACCAACUUUAUGAAGAUGACAGAGGUCGUUUAAGAAGUGAAUUAAAAAAAAAACCCUUGAAGAAAUCUUUGAGGGAAGCGAAAGACAAAAAAUUGGAAAUUAGUAAAUCCCUUAGAGAAAGCCAAGAAAAGCAAGCAGUUGAAAAAUCUGAAUGAAACUGGUCAAGUCCUGAACAUGGAAAUUGAAGCAAUAAAGAAGAUACAAUCUGAGGGAAUUCAAGCAAUGGAAAAUCUUGGUAAGCAAAAGGGAACUGCAGACAGAGCCAUCUCUAAGAGCACACAAGAGGUGGAAAAGAGACUCUUAAGCGUUGAAGAUGUGAUAGAUGAAAUAGAUAUAUUGGUCAUCGGAAAUUUGAAUCUAAAACAUAUGGGGAAAUGAAUACAGUCCUGGGGGCAGAGCAGUGACAGGAGCCCUCGAAUGCCCAGGGACUGAAUUUACCCCUGCCAUAAAUGUACACAAGCAUUAUUUGUCAUUGAAAAGGACAUUGCUAAAAGAACAGAUAAAUAAAAUGCAGCAGUGCAUCGUGGGUGCUCCCAUGUGUCAUUUCUUGGCUGUCUAGACUAUCUGUCCCUUCCUGGGGAAGAACUUUGUCAAGAAGGCACGACUGUUUUUUGAAGCAAUGGUGUUGUUUAGGAUAUAAUUCACAAUAGUCCUUGUCAU
rnacentral:sRNA from 1 species